GCAAGUCGAACGGUAGAGGGGGCAACCCCUUGAGAGUGGCGAACGGGUGAGUAAUAUAUCGGAACGUGCCCAGUCGUGGGGGAUAACGUAGUGAAAAUUACGCUAAUACCGCAUACGAUCUAAGGAUGAAAGCGGGGGAUCGCAAGACCUCGCGCGACUGGAGCGGCCGAUAUCAGAUUAGGUAGUUGGUAGGGUAAAGGCCUACCAAGCCAACGAUCUGUAGCUGGUCUGAGAGGACGACCAGCCACACUGGAACUGAGACACGGUCCAGACUCCUACGGGAGGCAGCAGUGGGGAAUUUUGGACAAUGGGCGAAAGCCUGAUCCAGCCAUUCCGCGUGCAGGAUGAAGGCCCUCGGGUUGUAAACUGCUUUUGUACAGAACGAAAAGGUUUCUAUUAAUACUAGGAGCUCAUGACGGUACUGUAAGAAUAAGCACCGGCUAACUACGUGCCAGCAGCCGCGGUAAUACGUAGGGUGCAAGCGUUAAUCGGAAUUACUGGGCGUAAAGCGUGCGCAGGCGGUUAUAUAAGUCAGAUGUGAAAUCCCCGGGCUCAACCUGGGAACUACAUUUGAGACUGUAUAGCUAGAGUACGGUAGAGGGGGAUGGAAUUCCGCGUGUAGCAGUGAAAUGCGUAGAUAUGCGGAGGAACACCGAUGGCGAAGGCAAUCCCCUGGACCUGUACUGACGCUCAUGCACGAAAGCGUGGGGAGCAAACAGGAUUAGAUACCCUGGUAGUCCACGCCCUAAACGAUGUCAACUGGUUGUUGGGUCUUAACUGACUCAGUAACGAAGCUAACGCGUGAAGUUGACCGCCUGGGGAGUACG
rnacentral:rRNA from 1 species